GACGAACGCUGGCGGCGUGCUUAACACAUGCAAGUCGAACGGAAAGGCCCUGCUUUUGUGGGGUGCUCGUGUGGCGAACGGGUGAGUAACACGUGAGUAACCUGCCCUUGACUUUGGGAUAACUUCAGGAAACUGGGGCUAAUACCGGAUAGGAGCUCCUGCUGCAUGGUGGGGGUUGGAAAGUUUCGGCGGUUGGGGCUGGACUCGCGGCUUAUCAGCUUGUUGGUGGGGUAGUGGCUUACCAAGGCUUUGACGGGUAGCCGGCCUGGGAGGGUGACCGGCCACAUUGGGACUAAGAUACGGCCCAGACGCCUACGGGAGGCAGCAGGGGGAAAUAUUGCACAAUGGGCGGAAGCCUGAUGCAGCAACGCCGCGUGCGGGAUGACGGCCUUCGGGUUAUAAACCGCUUUCGCCGGUGACGAAGCGUGAGUGACGGUAAUGGGUAAAGAAGCACCGGCUAACUACGUG
rnacentral:rRNA from 1 species